CGCAUCCCCUUCCCACCCCGCUCCCACUGCUGCUUCCCCUUUGGCCGCAGCCCCGGGGGCAGCGCGCAAUUAACGGCGUUUCCACGCGCCUCCCUUCCAGAUGGCCAGCCUGGCUCCAGCGUGCGUUUCUCCCUCUUUUCUUCUCCUCCCGUACAAAUACACGGCGUACCCCCGGCUCCAAUCCCGGCUUGCAGGAAAAUCAUUUCAUUUCGGAAAUUUAAAGACGAUCUCUGCAGAUUAAAAUGAUGGAACAGCUGUGGAGUGAUGGAACAAAGUGAGGGGAGGGGGGGCCGGUUGGGGAAGGCGGCCCGUUGCCUCUCUCCCCCCCCUUUGGCCAAGGUAGCACCGGGUCUUAAAAGGAAAAUGCCAUCAUCAAGUGCGUUCUGCUUGGCCAUCCCUGUGUUUUGAGCACGGCUCUUUGCGGGUUAUCCCCCCCCCCCUUUACCCCCCCGGGUGUCUCUCCAGGGUUGUGCUCACAGAUUGCUUUUUGGGAAGGCAGGGCUGGUGCUCAGGGUGGGUGUCACCUCCUUGGGUGUGCAGCACCUGGAUGCAGGGCUGGGAGGGCGCCUGCAGCCCGCGUUGGUUAACAGCAAGAGACUGGAAGUCAGGACCGAUUUUUCCAGCUGGAUUAGAUGGGUCAGCUGCCGUGUAGCCUCCCUGUCUGAGGAACGCAGAGGAAGCAGCUCUUGAUGAGCUGAGCUGCUUGGACAAAGCAGUGAGGUGAAAACGAGCACGCGAUUCCCGGCUGUCUGGAGGCUCCGCGGUGCUUUUUAGGAGGAGAUGAUGGAUGGAGGUUGGGGGAGCCCGGCAGCUCGGACAUGGAUGUGCCCCUGGGUACAGGAGCCGUGAGAUGGCCCUUUGCAGCCUUUGGCAGCCCGGGGUGUUGGUGGCAUUUGUAGGGACGAAGUAAAAGGCCAAGGAAAGGGCAUUGCCUUCUGCGAGGCACGGGGAAGCCUCACCUCCACAGGGGGCCGGCGGCGCUACCGUGUCCCUGAGCUCAGUGUCCUUACGGAGGUGGCACUCAGAGGGACACUGGGGGUCCUGGCUAUAACCGUGCCCGCUGCGGUGCUGCCAGGCGUCUGCUUUUCCAUUUGCCUUUCACCGCCGCUUCUCCCCGAAAUAUAUUCCAGUGGGGAUGACUCAUCCUUCCUCUCAGGACUCCAACCUGCGGUAAUGAGAUGUAAAUCCUUGCAUGACCUAUUAUAUUAGCUUAUGCUAUAUCACACAUCUCCGUGGAUUAGGAGGGAGGGAGACGAGACGUCCUCCCGUGGCAGCAGCCGGUGGGAUCUAAGAGGAUCGCUCCUCGGCGUUGGCACCUGGUUUGAAUACCUCUGCCAUGAGAUCUGCUCGCAGUGUGACGCACGUCAGCCCGGCUCUUCUUUCCAGAGGCUACCUUGCUGGCUGUCCAGCCAGGUGCUCAGACACGAGGUGAUGUUUCUAUGACGCCGCUCUUUCAAUUGAGCCAACUCCAAGGCAAGGCCAAGUGCAACCCCACGCCGCCCUCUGUACCCAAAUCCUGCACCACCCCAUUACCUGCUGCAGCCCUCCCAGGGAUGAGCUGAAUCCAGGUGUCACCUGGAGCUACGGCACCAUACAGAUGACACCAGCCCACGCCAUGAGGCUGCUCGGCCUUUCUCUCCAUUUCAAAAGCCACGUUCUUGCUGGCUUUGCCUGAAAAUGACUUUAAUCUUCAUAAGCCCGAGAAGUAAAGCUGCUUAUAGGCGCUGCGAAGAACUUGGGGGAAAGGGAGG
ensembl:lncRNA